rnacentral:rRNA from 1 species
AUGGACUCCAAAUAUAAUACCAAGAGACCUAAUAUCCUUUGCUGUAAUGACCCUCACCCAUCACAAUUUUGGAAAGGGGUGAUGUGGGCUAUGAAAGCAGUUAAACUGGGAUACAAAUGGUCUGUUGGGAAUGGUAGAUCUGUUAGGUUUUGGAAGGAUAUUUGGUUCGGUAACUCUCCACUUGCCACCCAGUUCUGGGAUUUGUAUUGUAUAGUUAAUGAUAAAAACAAAACCAUUGCAGAUACCUGGGAUGGAGAUAUUUUAAAGAUUUCCUUUAGAAGGAAUUUUGAUGAGGUGUUAAUGCAACAAUGGUUUGAUCUAGAAUCCGUUGCCAAAUCGAUUACUUUUACUGACCAGGAAGAUAAUUUGAUUUGGCAAUAUGAAUCUAAAGGCAUCUAUUCCUCUAAUUCUUUGUAUGCUAUUAUUAACUUUAGAGGGGUGCAACCUAUUUACACACCUGUGGUGUGGAGAUUGAAAAUACCACCCAGGGUGCAGGGUUUUCUUUGGUUGUUUUCACAGAAUAAAAUUAUGACCUGUGAUAACCUAAGAAAAAGAGGCAUACCCAAACCUCUGGAGUGUGUUCACUGUAAGGAAAUAGAAUCAGUUCAUCAUCUGUUUUUUGACUGUGUAGUUGCUAGAUUAAUGUGGAAAGAGGUAGAGAUUAUUUUUGAUAAAACUUUCCGUUCUUUCGGUAAGUUAGCUGCUUGCUGGCUCUGUGAGAAGAGAUUUGCCCAUCUGAAUGUAGUUUCUUCUGCUGUCCUUUGGGGUCUGUGGAAUACUAGAAACUCCAUUGUGUUUAAUAGAACUAAAUGGAUUUCUGUCAAACUGGUCUGGCAGAAGACAAGUUCAUACUUGGGGGACUGGAUGAAACUGCACAAGGAGCUGCAGGAAGGGGCGAUGAAACUCUUCAGAGACCACAUGUUGAGAAAGCUGAGAUCACCGCUGGAACUGGAACCAGACUGA